UACGUAGGGGGCAAGCGUUGUCCGGAAUCAUUGGGCGUAAAGAGCGUGUAGGCGGCCCGGUAAGUCCGCUGUGAAAGUCCAGGGCUCAACCCUGGGAUGCCGGUGGAUACUGUCGGGCUCGAGUGCGGAAGAGGCGAGUGGAAUUCCUGGUGUAGCGGUGAAAUGCGCAGAUAUCAGGAGGAACACCAAUUGCGAAGGCAGCUCGCUGGGACGUUACUGACGCUGAGACGCGAAAGCGUGGGGAGCAAACAGG
rnacentral:rRNA from 1 species